ACACUGAGUACAUAUGUGUACACUCUGAGGGACACUGGGCAGAGGCCAGGCUGGAGGGGGCGCUCAGAGUGUCCUGAGAACUACCCAGAGAGCGGGGAUUAACGUGGAAGCAGCGGAGCUUCUGAGGGAACCUUGUUCUUGUGGCUGCCCACAGGACAGCUUUGAAAUGGCAGCAAAGGGGUAGGAAGGAGGCUGUCCCCACCUGUCCUCACCUGUUCUUGUUUCUCCCUGCUGCUUUGCAGAAAGGGUUUGAUGUGUUCAAUGCACUGGAUCUCAUGGAGAACAAAACCUUCCUGGAGAAGCUCAAGUUUGGCAUAGGGGACGGCAACCUGCAGUAUUACCUUUACAAUUGGAAAUGCCCCAGCAUGGGGGCAGAGAAGGUUGGACUGGUGCUACAAUAACCAGUCACCAGUGCGAUUCUGGAUAAAGCCACUGAAAAUUCGAACCAGGAAAUGGAACCCCACCACUGUUGGUCCAAUUUUCACACACGUGAGAACCCCUGGCAAAGGGAGCAGAACUGAACCGGCUUUACCAAACCGCCAGCGAACUUGACAAUUGUAUUGCGAUGGCGUGGGCUGCGUGACGUCACCUCCGGUCGUGUCUCUGGUCUCCGUGUUUUCCAGUUAAUUACAUCCUCAUGCAGCCGUGAUCAAGGGAAUGUAACUGCUGAAAACUAGCUCGUGAUUGGCAUAUAAUGGAGUUAACGGGUGAAUAAUAAAAGUAUAUAUAUAUAUUAUAUAUAUAUAAA
rnacentral:sRNA from 1 species